rnacentral:rRNA from 1 species
GGGNGGGAGGUGCUUACCAUGCAGUCGAACGAUGAAGCCCAGCUUGCUGGGUGGAUUAGUGGCGAACGGGUGAGUAACACGUGAGCAACCUGCCCCUGACUCUGGGAUAAGCGCUGGAAACGGCGUCUAAUACUGGAUAUGUCCCGUCACCGCAUGGUGUGCGGGUGGAAAGAUUUUUCGGUUGGGGAUGGGCUCGCGGCCUAUCAGCUUGUUGGUGAGGUAAUGGCUCACCAAGGCGUCGACGGGUAGCCGGCCUGAGAGGGUGACCGGCCACACUGGGACUGAGACACGGCCCAGACUCCUACGGGAGGCAGCAGUGGGGAAUAUUGCACAAUGGGCGAAAGCCUGAUGCAGCAACGCCGCGUGAGGGAUGACGGCCUUCGGGUUGUAAACCUCUUUUAGCAGGGAAGAAGCGAAAGUGACGGUACCUGCAGAAAAAGCACCGGCUAACUACGUGCCAGCAGCCGCGGUAAUACGUAGGGUGCAAGCGUUAUCCGGAAUUAUUGGGCGUAAAGAGCUCGUAGGCGGUCUGUCGCGUCUGCUGUGAAAUCCCGAGGCUCAACCUCGGGCUUGCAGUGGGUACGGGCAGACUAGAGUGCGGUAGGGGAGAUUGGAAUUCCUGGUGUAGCGGUGGAAUGCGCAGAUAUCAGGAGGAACACCGAUGGCGAAGGCAGAUCUCUGGGCCGUAACUGACGCUGAGGAGCGAAAGGGUGGGGAGCAAACAGGCUUAGAUACCCUGGUAGUCCACCCCGUAAACGUUGGGAACUAGUUGUGGGGUCCUUUCCACGGAUUCCGUGACGCAGCUAACGCAUUAAGUUCCCCGCCUGGGGAGUACGGCCGCAAGGCUAAAACUCAAAGGAAUUGACGGGGACCCGCACAAGCGGCGGAGCAUGCGGAUUAAUUUCGAUGCAACGCGAAGAACCUUUACCAAGGCUUGACAUACACGAGAACGGGCCAGAAAUGGUCAACUCUUUGGACACUCGUGAACAGUGGUGCAUGGUUGCGUCAGCUCGUGUCGUGAGAUGUGGUUAAGUCCCGCAACGAGCGCAACCCUCCGUCUUAUGUUGGCCAGCACGGUAUGGCGCGAAACUCAUG